GACGAACCGUGCGAACGUUGUUCGGAUUCACUGGGCGUAAAGGGCGCGUAGGCGGCCGAGCAAGGUCGUGGUGAAAGCCCGGGGCUCAACCCCGGGAGGCGGGUGGAUACUGGUCAGCUCGAGUCCGGAAGAGGAGUGUGGAAUUCCUGGUGUAGCGGUGAAAUGCGCAGAUAUCAGGAGGAACACCAAUGGCGAAGGCAGCACUCUGGGACGGUACUGACGCUGAGACGCGAAAGCGUGGGGAGCAAACAGG
rnacentral:rRNA from 1 species